UACGUAGGGGGCAAGCGUUGUCCGGAUUUAUUGGGCGUAAAGAGCGUGUAGGCGGCCUGGAAGGUCAGCUGUGAAAACUCGAGGCUCAACCUCGAGACGUCGGUUGAAACCACCUGGCUAGAGUCCGGAAGAGGAGAGUGGAAUUCCCGGUGUAGCGGUGAAAUGCGCAGAUAUCGGGAAGAACACCCGUGGCGAAGGCGGCAUCCUGGACCGGCAUUGACGCUGAGGCGCGAAAGCCAGGGGAGCAAACGGG
rnacentral:rRNA from 1 species